GUAGGGAAUCUUCCGCAAUGGACGAAAGUCUGACGGAGCAACGCCGCGUGAGUGAUGAAGGUUUUCGGAUCGUAAAGCUCUGUUGUUAGGGAAGAACAAGUGCAAGAGUAACUGCUUGCACCUUGACGGUACCUAACCAGAAAGCCACGGCUAACUACGUGCCAGCAGCCGCGGUAAUACGUAGGUGGCAAGCGUUGUCCGGAAUUAUUGGGCGUAAAGGGCUCGCAGGCGGUUUCUUAAGUCUGAUGUGAAAGCCCCCGGCUCAACCGGGGAGGGUCAUUGGAAACUGGGAAACUUGAGUGCAGAAGAGGAGAGUGGAAUUCCACGUGUAGCGGUGAAAUGCGUAGAGAUGUGGAGGAACACCAGUGGCGAAGGCGACUCUCUGGUCUGUAACUGACGCUGAGGAGCGAAAGCGUGGGGAGCGAACAGG
rnacentral:rRNA from 1 species